rnacentral:rRNA from 1 species
UGGGGAAUAUUGCACAAUGGGCGCAAGCCUGAUGCAGCCAUGCCGCGUGUGUGAAGAAGGCCUUCGGGUUGUAAAGCACUUUCAGCGAGGAGGAAGGUGGUGAGCUUAAUACGCUCAUCAAUUGACGUUACUCGCAGAAGAAGCACCGGCUAACUCCGUGCCAGCAGCCGCGGUAAUACGGAGGGUGCAAGCGUUAAUCGGAAUUACUGGGCGUAAAGCGCACGCAGGCGGUUUGUUAAGUCAGAUGUGAAAUCCCCGGGCUCAACCUGGGAACUGCAUUUGAAACUGGCAAGCUAGAGUCUCGUAGAGGGGGGUAGAAUUCCAGGUGUAGCGGUGAAAUGCGUAGAGAUCUGGAGGAAUACCGGUGGCGAAGGCGGCCCCCCUGGACGAAGACUGACGCUCAGGUGCGAAAGGCGUGGGGCAGCAAACAGGAUUAGAUACCCUGGUAGUCCACGCUGUAAAACGAUGUCGAUUUGGAGGUUGUGCCCCUUGAGGCGUGGCUUCCGGAGCUAACGCGUUAAAUCGACCGCCU